rnacentral:rRNA from 1 species
UGGGGAAUAUUGCACAAUGGGCGCAAGCCUGAUGCAGCCAUGCCGCGUGUAUGAAGAAGGCCUUCGGGUUGUAAAGUACUUUCAGCGGGGAGGAAGGCGAUAAGGUUAAUAACCUUGUCGAUUGACGUUACCCGCAGAAGAAGCACCGGCUAACUCCGUGCCAGCAGCCGCGGUAAUACGGAGGGUGCAAGCGUUAAUCGGAAUUACUGGGCGUAAAGCGCACGCAGGCGGUCUGUCAAGUCGGAUGUGAAAUCCCCGGGCUCAACCUGGGAACUGCAUUCGAAACUGGCAGGCUAGAGUCUUGUAGAGGGGGGUAGAAUUCCAGGUGUAGCGGUGAAAUGCGUAGAGAUCUGGAGGAAUGCCGGUGGCGAAGGCGGCCCCCUGGACAAAGACUGACGCUCAGGUGCGAAAGCGUGGGGAGCAAACA